UCGAAUCUUUCUCUACGGUAAUUUCUUAUUUAAAAAUCACCGGGAGAAUAGAUUUGCUU
rnacentral:pre_miRNA from 1 species